rnacentral:rRNA from 1 species
GCUGAGCACUCCUACGGAGGCAGCAGUGGGGAAUAUUGCACAAUGGGGCGCAAGCCUGAUGCAGCCAUGCCGCGUGUAUGAAGAAGGCCUUCGGGUUGUAAAGUACUUUCAGCAGUGAGGAAGGUGGGUAUGUUAAUAGCAUAUUCAUUUGACGUUAGCUGCAGAAGAAGCACCGGCUAACUCCGUGCCAGCAGCCGCGGUAAUACGGAGGGUGCGAGCGUUAAUCGGAAUUACUGGGCGUAAAAGCGCAUGCAGGUGGUUUGUUAAGUCAGAUGUGAAAGCCCGGGGCUCAACCUCGGAAUUGCAUUUGAAACUGGCAAACUAGAGUACUGUAGAGGGGGUAGAAUUUCAGGUGUAGCGGUGAAAUGCGUAGAGAUCUGAAGGAAUACCGGUGGCGAAGGCGGCCCCCUGGACAGAUACUGACACUCAGAUGCGAAAGCGUGGGGAGCAAACAGGAUUAGAUACCCUGGUAG